CAGUCGAGCGGACAGAAGGGAGCUUGCUCCCGGAUGUUAGCGGCGGACGGGUGAGUAACACGUGGGUAACCUGCCUGUAAGACUGGGAUAACUCCGGGAAACCGGAGCUAAUACCGGAUAGUUCCUUGAACCGCAUGGUUCAAGGAUGAAAGACGGUUUCGGCUGUCACUUACAGAUGGACCCGCGGCGCAUUAGCUAGUUGGUGAGGUAACGGCUCACCAAGGCGACGAUGCGUAGCCGACCUGAGAGGGUGAUCGGCCACACUGGGACUGAGACACGGCCCAGACUCCUACGGGAGGCAGCAGUAGGGAAUCUUCCGCAAUGGACGAAAGUCUGACGGAGCAACGCCGCGUGAGUGAUGAAGGUUUUCGGAUCGUAAAGCUCUGUUGUUAGGGAAGAACAAGUGCAAGAGUAACUGCUUGCACCUUGACGGUACCUAACCAGAAAGCCACGGCUAACUAC
rnacentral:rRNA from 1 species